GGGCUGCAGUAUUUUGACUGUACAAAGGUAGCAUAAUCAAUAGUCUCUUAAUUGGUGACUUGUAUGAAAGAUUGGAUGAGAUAUAUACUGUCUCUGAUUAAUUUAUAGAAAUUAAUUUUUUAGUGAAAAAGCUAAAAUAAUUUUAAAAGACGAGAAGACCCUAUAGAGUUUAAUAAUUUAUUUAAUUAUUGAUAAAAUAUAAUUUUUAAAAUUAAAAUUAAAUAGAUUAUUUUGUUGGGGUGAUAGAAAAAUUAAAUUAACUUUUUUUAAUUGUUUACAUUAAUUUAUGAUUAAAUGAUCCAUUUAUAAUGAUUAAAAGAAAAAAUUACCUUAGGGAUAACAGCGUAAUUUUUUUUUUUAGUUCAAAUAGGAAAAAAAGUUUGCGACCUCGAUGUUGGAUUAA
rnacentral:rRNA from 1 species